GCCGACGAGCAUCUCAACAUCCACAGUAUAAACUUCAGUGCCGCAGAUAUAUCUACUAUAUGAGCGACGAAUUCAUCGUCUUUGUCAACUCUUUCCACACUGCAGGAGGAAGAUCGUCUGGAACACACACACUAUCUGACCCGCGCGCGCACCGUUGACUUGGUAACGGUGGUAACGAUUGCAGAUGACAUCAACCUCCGGGUGUGGGCUCGAUCCCGGGACAAAAAGAGGACCACAGAUCGGCAGGCCAGGACGCUGGCGCCAAUAGAAAGGAUCGAGACGUGUUCCACUGGGCCACCAGGAUGCGUUGUUCGUGACCGGCAGUGCGGGAGAGGACUCACCGAACAAAGCGGCGUGUAUGAUGUCGGCAGACUGGAAUACCGCGCCAUCCGAGAACUUUAGGUGGCCUGCAAUGCAAACAUGAGGUUUUACGAAGCAGACAACAGAUCAGUGGUCAUGGAAAUUUACGAUAAGUUUUACUUGUUUGACCUUGAAAAGAUGGACGUCAGCAUCGUGUUUCCGGGUCGAGUAGUCGAUACACGAGUGUGUAUCUUGACCAAACGGAAGCAACUCCUCGUGGCGUCACGUUUUGGCAAGAACGUGAAACGGUACAACAUCACAAACGGCUGCAUUGACGCCAUAAUAAAAACUGGACACAAGAAGGAGAUCUACCAAGUUGUGGUGAACGAUCCGGGAACGCUCGCUGCAGUGACGGUAGUUUUUGGACCUGUAUUGUUGAUGGACCUUGUCACUCACUCUCGCGUGUAUGAGAUCUCAAACAGUACGUUCAGGAGAUGCGAACGUAUCUUUACCUCUCAAAAUUAAACAUACGUUGGAAUUUCGCGGCAUAUAUUGUACAAUAUAUUUCAAUGUUAACGGCGUUUCUUUUUCUGUGUACGCAUUGCAUACUAGCAUAACAUAAUUAUACUAUCAAUAAAGCGCACUUUGCGAA